UGGCUGCAGUGGGGAAUUUUGGACAAUGGGCGAAAGCCUGAUCCAGCCAUUCCGCGUGAGUGAAGAAGGCCUUCGGGUUGUAAAGCUCUUUCGCAAGAGAAGAAAACUUACCCUCUAACAUAGGGUGAGGUUGACGGUAUCUUGAUAAGAAGCACCGGCUAACUACGUGCCAGCAGCCGCGGUAAUACGUAGGGUGCGAGCGUUAAUCGGAAUUACUGGGCGUAAAGCGUGCGCAGGCUGUUUUGUAAGUCAGAUGUGAAAUCCCCGAGCUCAACUUGGGAACUGCGUUUGAAACUACAAGACUAGAAUAGGUCAGAGGGGGGUAGAAUUCCACGUGUAGCAGUGAAAUGCGUAGAGAUGUGGAGGAAUAUCAAUGGCGAAGGCAGCCCCCUGGGAUCAUAUUGACGCUCAUGCACGAAAGCGUGGGGAGCAAACAGGAUUAGAUACCCUAGUAGUC
rnacentral:rRNA from 1 species